rnacentral:rRNA from 2 species
UUACAGCAUCGAGCGGANAGAUGGGAGCUUGCUCCCUGAUGUUAGCGGCGGACGGGUGAGUAACACGUGGGUAACCUGCCUGUAAGACUGGGAUAACUCCGGGAAACCGGAGCUAAUACCGGAUACUUGUUUGAACCGCAUGGUUCAAUGAUAAAAGGUGGCUUCGGCUGCCACUUACAGAUGGACCCGCGGCGCAUUAUCUACUUGGUGAGGUAACGGCUCACCAAGGCGACGAUGCGUAGCCGACCUGANAGGGUGAUCGGCCACCCUGGGACUGAGACACGGCCCACACUCCUACGGGAGGCAGCAGUAGGGAAUCUUCCGCAAUGGACGAAAGUCUGACGGAGCAACGCCGCGUGAGUGAUGAAGGUUUUCGGAUCAUAAAGCUCUGUUGUUAGGGAAGAACAAGUGCCGGUCGAAUAGGGCGGCCUUGACGGUACCUACCCAAAAAACCACGGUUACUUACUUGCCGCCACCCGCGGUAAUACUUAGGUGGCAGCCGUUGUCGGAAUUAAUUGGNCGUAAAGGGCCCGCGGCGGUUCUUAUUUCUGUUGUGAAGGCCCCCGGCUCCCCCGGGGAGGAGGUUUGGAAUUGGUGAAGCUUGAUGUGCCAAAAAGGAGGAGUGGAUUUCUCCUUGUUGCGGGAGAAG